AGAGUUUGAUCCUGGCUCAGGAUGAACGCUGGCGGCGUGGAUAAGGCAUGCAAGUCAAACGGUGCAGCAAUGCACAGUGGCAAACGAGGUAGUAACACGUAGGUAUUUCCCCUUUAGUCAGGAAUAACUUGUCGAAAGACAAGCUAAUACUUGAUGGUCUCUUCGGAGUAAAGAUUUAUCGCUAAAGGAAAAGCCUGCGGAGUAUCAGCUAGUUGGUAGGGUAAUGGCCUACCAAGGCAAUGACGCUUAGGGGACCUGAGAGGGUGACCCCCACCGAUGGUACUGAGACACGGACCAUACACCUACGGGUGGCCGCAGUCGAGAAUCUUCCACAAUGGACGAAAGUCUGAUGGAGCGACGCCGCGUGACUGAUGAAGUCCUUCGGGACGUAAAGGUCUUUUGUGAGGUAGAAAGUUAUUGAUCGCCUCAAGAAUAAGGGGUUGCUAAACUCGUGCCAGCAGCAGCGGUAAUACGAGUGCCCCAAGCGUUAUCCGGAAUCAUUGGGCGUAAAGGGUGUGUAGGCGGUUGUGUUAGUCUCUUGUUAAAGCUCUCGGCUUAACCGGGAAGAUGCAAGAGAAACGGCACAACUAGAGGAUGCGAGAGGUGAAUGGAACUCAUAGUGUAGGGGUGAAAUCCGUUGAUAUUAUGGGGAACACCAAAAGCGAAGGCAAUUCACUGGCGCAUUCCUGGCGCUGAAACACGAAAGCGUGGGUAGCGAAUGGGAUUAGAUACCCCAGUAGUCC
rnacentral:rRNA from 1 species